rnacentral:piRNA from 1 species
UCCUCCCAUUUGACCAGUUCCAUCCC